GACGAACGCUGGCGGCGUGCUUAACACAUGCAAGUCGAGCGGUAAGGCCCUUUCGGGGGUACGACGAGCGGCGAACGGGUGAGUAACACGUGGGUGACCUGCCCUCAGCUCUGGGAUAAGCCUGGGAAACCGGGUCUAAUACUGGAUAUGACUCCAUGACGCAUGUUGUGGGGUGGAAAGCCUUGUGCGGCUGAGGAUGGGCCCGCGGCCUAUCAGCUUGUUGGUGGGGUGANGGCCUACCAAGGCGACGACGGGUAGCCGGCCUGAGAGGGCGACCGGCCACACUGGGACUGAGACACGGCCCAGACUCCUACGGGAGGCAGCAGUGGGGAAUCUUGCGCAAUGGGCGAAAGCCUGACGCAGCGACGCCGCGUGAGGGAUGACGGCCUGGUGUAACUCUU
rnacentral:rRNA from 1 species